rnacentral:rRNA from 1 species
UACGAAGGGGGCUAGCGUUGUUCGGAAUUACUGGGCGUAAAGGGCGCGUAGGUGGCGCCGCAAGUCCAUGGUGAAAGCUCGAUGCUCAACAUCGAGUCGGCCACGGAGACUGCGGGGCUCGAGCACUGUAGGGGCAGAUGGAAUUCCGGGGUGUAGCGGUGGAAUGCGUAGAGAUCCGGAAGAACACCGGUGGCGAAGGCGGUCUGCUGGGCAGUUGCUGACACUGAGGCGCGACAGCGUGGGGAGCGAACGAGG